UUGCGUCAAACUUUUUAUGUGCAAUAUUUAUUAAGGUUUUUGUUAUAUCAAAGAAAAAGUGAAGUGUACAAAUGUUCUUAUAAGAAUAUUCAAAUCGUAUUGAAUGAGAGCUCGACAAUUUUCAAUCAGAUACUAGUUUACGAAAUGCUAUACGGAGAGCGUCAACCUCCAGACAAAUUGCUUUAUUUUCCAAUCUCUUAUUGCGAAAUUCGAGUGCAUCCUAUUGAUGCAGCCAAUCAAAAAGUGUCACCUUCCGAUGUCCAAGUAGGAUAUUGAUCGUAUCUAACAGAAAAACAUAAACUCGAAAUUCCGUACGUGGUACACGAUGCGGUUCGUUUCGAAAUUCUCAACGGAGGUAAAAGUCUACCAAUACAAAAAGAAGCAGCGAAACUUAGAUCGCGAUUCCCAAGUGAAGGAUGGAUUGCUGGAAUUCUAGUGUAAAUGUACCUAAGAAUUUCAACUGCAGAAACCAAGAACGUAUCUGAAGUCAAACAGGAGGGAUGCGAACGGUCAGGAGCAAAUGGGGAUGUUGAAUGAAACGGCAAAUAUGCGACCAAGAAGGACCCUCGAUUUAUUUGAGCAACGAUCUCUAAUUUGUCACUGGUCCUCUAAUUAGAGACGGUAUGGGCUCCAUGGAAUUGGAU